AUAUAAUCAACCUUUUCUUGUUUUGAGAAUGGUUUGGAUGUGGGGGUUUGCUGGCCUCUCUCAAAAGGUUCAGCUCCCCUGAAAUGCAUUAGCAGAACAACCUUUGCUCAUUGGUGUGAUAACUAUCUACGCUUAUGAAUACGGAGGGGCAGUUCAGCUUUCUAACGGUCUUUGGACAAUUCAUCAUUA
rnacentral:misc_RNA from 2 species